CUUCAUCUCCAUUUACAGCCAUUUAUUUGGGAGCAACAUACUUUAAAUGAGUGAUAAACAAAAUGUCUCCCCACAGCCCCCACCCCAGCAUGUGUUCUGAAGUUCACAGGAAGGCUUCUCCUCAUUUGCUUUGGGGCCCGCAGGCUGCCUGCUAACAGCUGGGUCUUCCCAUGAACAAAUUAGACAGUUAAUGUUCCAGGAUGAAGAGGGCUUCGGGGAACAGAAUCUGCCGUUUAUUUGACUUGCUUCAUUAGACACAGUGCCAUCAUACCAAAAUUAGAAAAAAGAAGGAACUCAGCGGAAAUCAGCUACACAAGAAGAACCUCUCAGUUCUGAGAAUUCACAUUAACCAGUGAUUAAGAAAUAUUAAAAAGGGUAUAGUUCUUGGCUGUGCUGAGGAUCUGUAAGGCACCAGAUGUGAAAGUAAGGAAGAAAGAUGGAUGUGGAAGAAAGUCACUGCCCAGAGAAUAAGGAGACCUGGAUUCUAAUCUCAGCUCUGCCAUUAACUAGCUGAUGAAACUAUGGCUCAAAAGGGAAUAAGAGAUCAAGGCAAGCAUGGACAUCUUGGUUGCCAGUAAUGAUGUUUCUGGUGAUCUGGCUCAGAAGGCUGAGCUGAUGAGUGAUCACUCAGAAAUACUGAAUCAGGCAAUGGAAAUUCUGAAUCGGUGGGCUCUGGAGAAGGAACUGAGGGCGAGGUGACUCGGGGCCGGAGGGCUAUUAUGGACUAUGGACAAGCUGAAGGCAUGGGAAGCCUGACCAGUAGAUAGAGGAAUAUGAACUUGGUGGACAGGGAAAAGCAGGGACGUCAUGAACGAAAGACCACAGACCCUCUGUUCUAGUCCAUGGGGCCAGGCUGUGCUCCACUGCCUACUCUUGGAUUCCCC
rnacentral:lncRNA from 1 species